rnacentral:lncRNA from 1 species
UCAGUUUUUUCCUUUUGACUUGUGGUCAGAAUGGCGGGUACCGUCGCCGUAGCAAAGCUGCAAGCGGGCAUCGAAUCCGGGGAGAAAGUGGUGGUGGUGGUGGUGGUGGUUCUCCACAGGUGCAACAGCAGCAUUAGGUGGAGAUGCGGUUGUGCUGCUGAAGAAAGCCGAUGAUGGUCCGUCUAUGGGCGAAAACCUCUGGACGUGAGGUAACAGAGACGGCGGAGAAGAAGAAUU